CACGAAUUAAGGCGAGCUAAUUUAUUAUAAAUAUUAGUUUACAGAAUGUUGCAUAAUUAUGUUAAAUAAUGAAUUAGGGGUGACAGGCUUUCCAAGUCUUAGUAUAACUUGAUAUUUAUGAAAUGUAUUUAGUACAUAAUACAAUUAAGGAGUGCUAAGAUUCCUUGUAUAUACAAAAAUUAAGGAAAAAAAAUGAAUUUAAUCUUGUUAUAACUAACGGAUAUUAUAUAUUAAUAAAUAUUAAUCUUAAUAAUUUGUAUUAUAUAAUAAAUUAUUUAAAACCAACCACGAAAUAUAUAUUGUUACUAUAAGUAAAUCUUAAAAUAUUUAAAAUGAACUCGGCAAUAUUCUCUUCAACUGUUUAUCAAAAACAUAGCUAGUAGGAUUAAAUUAUUAGUAUUUUCUGCUCAAUGAAUAUUAAAUAGCCGCAGUACCCUGACUGUGCUAAGGUAGCAUAAUCAAUUGGCUUGUAAUUUAAGUCUUGUAUGAACGAAAAAAUGCAAGAGAAGCUAUAUGGUAAAUAUAUAUUGAAAUUACUUAGUAAGUGAAAAUACUUACUUAAAAAUAUAAGACGAGAAGACCCUAGAAAUUUUAAGAAUAAAAGACAAAAGCUUUUUGUUGGGGCAACAUUGUAACAUGUAACUUACAGUAAUAUACAAGCAAUAUUUAUUGUUAGAUUAAAUUACUCUAGGGAUAACAGCGUAAUGUAAAAACGUUUGCGACCUCGAUGUUGGAUUAGGAAAUAUAAGCUUAGAA
rnacentral:rRNA from 1 species